CCGGGCUCUGAGACCGGAGCUUCUCCGAGGCCUUGGUGGCGGGGGCGGAGGGGAGGGUGCUGGGGACCCUGGGCGCCUCUGGAACAACACCAGAUGUCACUUUUCCACCCACCUGCCUCUGGGAGGGAGGAGCCGAGAAGCAGAGGACAGAAGCUCCCGGGCGGGGGUUAGGAGGAACCGAGAGAGGACUUGGCUGCCAGGAGAAGGCAAUUUCCUCGUUCUUGGAGAUGUUGUUGAGGAAGAGCAGGCGGCUGCACUUGCUCUGCACAGGACUCAGGCUCCCAGCCUUGGGGCUGAUGGAGAAGAGGCAAUUGUCCUGCACGCGCAUCUGGUGGAGCUCAGUGGAAUUCAACUCUGCUUGCUCUGCCCAGAGCUCCACGUCAAUCCGCUGGUCACUUGGAAGGAGGAAGGCCCUGGGAGAGGGGUGCAAAGCCAUACAAAGAAACUGGUCAGGCAGAACAGAGAGGCAGGGGCUCUGAGACCCUGAUGGGCAGGUGGAGGCUUCUUCCAUGACUCCCGCACUUCAUGCACCCAUUUGGCAAACUGUCCCAUGUGUGCCUGAGCAAAUGUGGCUGUUGUGGAUUCUCGUUUCAUAAUGGCCCCAAAACCCAGGAACAGACUCUGGGCCACGGCGACUCAAGAAGUGAAGAGUGGGGCUCCCACUGUGGAUGCCAGGAGUCAAGGUGUUGCUUGAAUAUGGGGGCCACUUUGAGCUGGCCAUGAACCCUUCUGUGACAAAGCUCUUGGGAAAGGGCCAUUUGGGACACCUAGGAAGGCUGGCAGCACCAACCAGCAGCCCCAGGGAGUGGGGUGUCCAGGCCAACUUGGGCACAGGGUGGAGAACAGAUGCCCCAGCAGGGCUGGCACUCUUGAAACAGAAGCAAGGCUGUGCACAGAGUUAAUGCCCCUGACAUGCCUAGGACUGCGGUAAAGUAGAUAAUGCACCUUAAGUAGCCGACAAAACUAGUGACAAAGGGUCCUGAGGUCACAAUCUGAAAGGAGAACCCAUUUCACUCUCGGAGAUGGCACAGAACUGGUUCCAGCUGCAAACCGGGUGGAGGAUACGAUAGGGAGCAUCCAGAAAAGGAAAAGAAAGUGCCCAACACACACCUGAGAGAAAGCGCACAACGCACACCUGAGAGAAAGCACGCAACGCGCACCUGAGAGAAAGCACGCAACACACACCUGAGAGAAAGCACGCAACACACACCUGAAAGUGCGCAACACACACCCGAAGAGAAUGCGCGCAACAAACACCUGAGAGGAAGUGUGCAACGCAUACCUGAGAGCACGCAACACACACCUGAGGAGAAUGCAUGCAACACACACCUGAGAGGAAGCACGCAACACACACCUGAGGAGAAUGCAUGCAACACACACCUGAGAGAAAGCGCACAAAAGCAACCUGAGAGAAAAUGCACAACACACACCCGAGGAGAAUGCGCACAACACACACCUGAGAGGAAGCGUGCAACACACACCUGAGGAGAAUGCACGCAACACACACCUGAGGAGAAUGCGUGCAACACACACCUGAGGAGAACGCGUGCAACACACACCUGAGAGAAAGCACACAACACACACCUGAGGAGAAUGCACACAACACACACUUGAGAGGAAGUGCACAACACACACCUGAGGAGAAUGUGCGCAACACACACCUAAGGAGAACGCGUGCAACACACACCUGAGGAGAAUGCACGCAGCACACACCUGACGGGAAGUGUGCAACACGCACCUGAAAGAAGGCACGCAACACACACCUGAGAGAAAGCACACAACGCACACCUGAGAGAAAGCGUGCAACACGGGCCUGGAAGCCUCAGUAGGAGUCAGGGAGGCCUAAGUCCAAACCCUCAGAAGGAACCAGUCUUAACUUUUUUCACAUCUGAAGCAUGAAGAAUAGUAAUAUUCAACACUGGUAAGUUCAGAAAGAACAGACUCAAACAUAGGUGGGUGGAGAGGGAACUGCUCAACCUCUUGGACGGAAGUUUGGCAGCUUAUGCCCUUUGACCCAGAAGUGUCUGUUUGGGAAACCAAUUCAUAGGAAUAAAAGCACAUAUGUGUGCAUGCUUAUGUGCACGCAACGCACACCUUUGUGUGGAUGUCUAUCACCACUUUCUUUGUAGUGGUCAUGAAAAAAAAGCAGCUGGGAACAAUUGGAGUUUCCAAUAGAGGAGUGAUUUAACGAUUUAAAGUCCAUCCAUAUUGUGGCAUAUUAUACAGCUAUUUAAAAGAAUGCGUUAGAUAUAUGUAUUGAUCUAAAGGAGAUGUUAUUGAUAUAAUGCUGAGUGAAAGCAUCAUUAUUCCUGAAAGUAACAGAUAUAGUAUUGGGCCAUUACUGUAAAAAAAAAGGAAAGAGAACCGCUCUGUAAAUA
rnacentral:lncRNA from 1 species